rnacentral:rRNA from 1 species
UACGUAGGUGGCAAGCGUUGUCCGGAUUUACUGGGCGUAAAGAGCGCGCAGGCGGUCGAUCAAGUCGAGUGUGAAAGCCCCCGGCUCAACUGGGGAGGGUCAUUCGAAACUGGUCGACUCGAAGGCAGGAGAGGGUAGUGGAAUUCCCGGUGUAGUGGUGGAAUGCGUAGAUAUCGGGAGGAACACCAGUGGCGAAGGCGACUACCUGGCCUGUUCUUGACGCUGAGGCGCGAAAGCUAGGGGAGCAAACGGG